ensembl:lncRNA
AGGAGGCGGGCCGGUGACAAAGGUUGAAUGGAACUUGUGCAGCUGUUUUUUACCCUUGCAGUCUGCUGUGUGCCCGUGCUGCGGGUUGAGCGGUGCCGUUGUGCGGGGCGGACGUUCGGUGUGUGCAUGUUAUUUGGCCUGAAGCGGGAUAGAAUCCAUCACUCUCAGAAACCUGCCUUUCUAUAAACCUUUUUAUAGAUACAGAUAAGCCUUUUUAUAAACUCCACAGAUGUUUUGUCUGUGGACUUCAUAUCCUCAGACCACUGAGAGGAAUGCAAGCUACAUAGAAGAAGAUACAAUAGAUGGGCUUAUAUUUUAGGUAAGGCUUUUCCAAAUCCAUAAUUUUAUGUUAAAAGUACUGAAGAUGUAGGGACUCCAAAUGCACAAUAACGCAAGGGCAAUCUAGGAUGGGAGAGAGAGAAAGAAGCUUUAUAGACGCCGAUUGUAGUGAGAGCAUGUUUAGAUAGCAUCUCCUUUCUGCCCCCGUUCUCUGCCCAGGCAUUGCAUGAGCCCAGCCUGGGAUGGACGGACUCCUUCCAUAGCAGUUAACGCCACAGUGCUAGGAAGGAAUUGACCGGUGAAGAUGAGACAGUAAGCAGAAAAAGCGAAUGUGUAGGAGAAUAAAAGAUAAAUAAAAAUGGACGGUAGCAGUAGAGGAGCCUCCCUCAUAUUUGAGCUAUCAUCGCUUCACGUGAAGCAUCAGCCUAGAAUUGUGAGAAGGAACAGCCUCCGGAGCUGAGGGAGGG